AAAUGUUACAGCUCUUUUAGAAUUUGUCUAGCAGGUUUUCUGACAUCUACCAGAAAGCCCAU
rnacentral:snRNA from 1 species